AUUGAACGCUGGCGGCAGGCCUAACACAUGCAAGUCGCGCGAGCGGCGGACGGGGGAGUAAUGUCUGGGAAACUGCCUGAUGGAGGGGGAUAACUACUGGAAAAGGUAGCUAAUAAAGCAUACCAUCAGAUGUGCCCAGAUGGGAUUAGCGCGUCGGUGGGGUAAAGGCUACCCUAGGCGACGAUCCCUAGCUGGUCUGAGAGGAUGACCAGCCACACUGGAACUGAGACACGGUCCAGACUCCUACGGGAGGCAGCAGUGGGGAAUAUUGCACAAUGGGCGCAAGCCUGAUGCAGCCAUGCCGCGUGUAUGAAGAAGGCCUUCGGGUUGUAAAGGACUUUCAGCGGGGAGGCGUUACCCGCAGAAGAAGCACCGGCUAACUCCGUGCCAGCAGCCGCGGUAAUUC
rnacentral:rRNA from 1 species